rnacentral:tRNA from 1 species
GGUUCCGUAACUCAGAGGAAGAGUGCAAUCUUUACGCGAUUGAAGUCGGGAUUUCGAAAUUCCCCGGAACCAC